AUAAAAAAAUAAAAUAUUAUUAACAUAAUAAAAUCAUCCACUACAUAAUAAUUCAUUAUCUUUACAAUUAAUCAUCUAAAGCUGCCACAGUUCUUCAAUCAAAGUAUAUAUCUACAUAUAUAUAGAGAGUACACUUCAUAAUUUCGUCCCUUAUCUUCCGUAAACGUAAUACGAAAAUUUGAUACCUAGUAUUGUAAGGCAAGUCAUAGAAGCAGUCUUCCUGCACAUAUUUAAAAAUAAUAGCAUGUCAGAAAAAUGAAGCAAAUAGGUCACCAAAGGCACUUAAUGCCAAAAUCAAUACACAAAGACAAUAGAGUUGCUACGUGGUAUUAAUGUACACCGUAUUGCUCAUAAACAGAAAAAGACAAACAUGCAAUCACAAUAUCAUUUGCUACAAAUCCAAAUAAAAAAAGAACCUUCAGUGCGGCUAUAUGAUUGCUCUAUUACAAGAAAAAAUUGGAAUCUUAAUCGACCAUUUCAUGAAUUAAUUUCAAUAAGCAUAGUGAUAAACAUAUUUUAUGUUACAAAACUUGUAGAUUAUUAUUAUAUGUUGACCUCAAGUCAGAAUUCAGUCACAUUCAACAACCACAAGCAUCACACAAUCUUAAAUAACAAUGCUUAGAUUUCUAUAUAGAAAGGACAACAAUUAUAAAAAAGUUAAGGCUAUUAGUCAAUGUGGAAAAAAAUUUCUUGAGACGAUAAAUUUUCAUACAGUAUAUGCCCCAAAGAUGCUAGCUAUAAUCAAAAAACAUUUGAUUUUAAGAAUAUUAAGUUUUGC
rnacentral:lncRNA from 1 species